rnacentral:snRNA from 1 species
AGUUUUGCGGAGUGGCAGUAUCGUAGCCAGUGGGGUUUAUCUGAGGCAGGAUCAUUGCUAAUUGAAAACUUUUCCAACAGAAAGAGAAAGACAAAUACCAUAUGAUAUCACUUAUAUGUGGAAUCCAAAUAUGA